GACGAACGCUGGCGGCAUGCCUAAUACAUGCAAGUCGAGCGAACAGAUGAAGUGCUUGCACUUCUGACGUUAGCGGCGAACGGGUGAGUAACACGUAAGGAAUCUACCUAUAAGCGGGGGAUAACAUUCGGAAACGGGUGCUAAUACCGCAUAAUACCUUCUUCCGCAUGGAAGGAGAUUGAAAGACGGCUCUGCUGUCACUUAUAGAUGACCUUGCGGUGCAUUAGUUAGUUGGUGGGGUAACGGCCUACCAAGACGAUGAUGCAUAGCCGACCUGGGAGGGUGAUCGGCCACAUUGGGACUGAGACACGGCCCAAACUCCUAGGGGAGGCAGCAGUAGGGAAUCUUCCGCAAUGGGCGAAAGCCUGACGGAGCAAUGCCGCGUGAGUGAAGAAGGCCUUCGGGUCGUAAAACUCUGUUAUAAGAGAAGAACAAAUUGUAGAGUAACUGCUACAGUCUUGACGGUAUCUUAUCAGAAAGCCACGGCUAACUACGUGCCAGCCGCCGCCGUAA
rnacentral:rRNA from 1 species